GAGAAGGGGCCAGGAGGAGGGAGUCCCUUAGGGCAGCAAGCACAGAAGCCCUUCAGUUAGAUCUAGUCACACGGAUACAUCUAUAUGCAAGGGGACAUCAGAUAUAUAAUCCAGGCUUGGGCUGCCAUCUGCCAGCAAUAACAGCACAUUAUGAAAGGGAAACCACGUUUAUACACCAUGUUAACUGAUCUUUUCAUCCCUCUCCACCAUUGUGAAGAUAAAGUCAAAAUGGGAUUGUGAUGCCACCCUCUCAUCUCCACGUAGGAGAGAGUUAUAAACAUGGCAUCUCCAGAAGAGAAGGCAGCUAUGGAGGUUGGGACAAACUAUUCAAAAUGGAAAUAGUUAACAGAAAUCUUGAUGGAGAACGACACCGUCUCUGCAUCUGUUUGUGAACGUGCAGGGCAAUGUGCUGUGAGGUGGGCGAUUUGCACUAACAGGAGUGCUAAUAUGAUGUAUUAAAUGUCAGACCAGCAUUGCUGGGUGUGUGUAUCUCUCCUGUGGUACUGCCUGUUUAUGCUUAUUCAGCCCUUUGAAUAAUUUAACACAUUUCAUACUCUAAAUUACUCUCAGCAAUUUGAUGGGGCUUCUGGCAGUUUACUUGAAACGCUCAGUGUUAGGUCAACAUAGGGUCCCAGCUUCUGCUAAAUAGAAGUACUCUGCCUACUUAGGAAAGCAUAAUUAGUUUUCUCCAUGGAUCUCCUGGAGGUUGGGGUGAGGUGGAAGAAUAGGUGGGGGGAGCCAGGAGGUAGACACUGCAUGUGUUCAUUCGAUUGUCAGUCCAGAAAAUGCCAAGGAUCCAAAGGUUAAAAAUUUAAUGGGGCAGGAAGCUGGCCUUCAGGAGAAGGAAAAGUUGAAGGGCAUGGGAAAACAGUGUGAGUGUGCUGUGCAAAUGGGUGUGCAUGAUAAAUUACCCUCAUUUAGUCUAUCUUGACAGCAGCUGGAGUCCCUUUUCCAUUUAAUCCUGAUGUAAAAGUGGCCUGUCCCAGUGAAGACUGGCCACAGUGUGUGGAGAAAGUGCUAUAGGGUGCAGUAAUUUGUGCAAGUGAAACAGUGCACCUCUAUCUGAUCAGGAGCCUCUUCAUCACUGCUAUUUCCAGUUUUCGAUAUAAUCUGCAGCGAUGAUGCAAAAUUCCUGAAAAUCUUAUUUUUUCCUUCUCCCCAUGGAACCACUAUUUCUAUGCAUAUAAAGAAUUAAACUUGGCUCAGAGCUGGAGGGACACCAGUUUCUUUAAUAUCCUAAGAGUGUGGUUUUAAGAAGUAUCUUUCCCUUCACCCUUUUCUCCCUCUCUCUUCUGUGACAUCCAGGAUGGAAAGGGCAUGGACCUUAUGAGAGGUGAGCAUUUUCAAUUAGGACUUAAAAUCUUACCUUUGAUGAUGCAUCACCUUGAGUGA
rnacentral:lncRNA from 12 species